rnacentral:rRNA from 1 species
AGUGGGGAAUAUUGCACAAUGGGCGAAAGCCUGAUGCAGCGACGCCGCGUGAGGGAUGACGGCCUUCGGGUUGUAAACCUCUUUCAGCAGGGACGAAGCGCAAGUGACGGUACCUGCAGAAGAAGCACCGGCUAACUACGUGCCAGCAGCCGCGGUAAUACGUAGGGUGCGAGCGUUGUCCGGAAUUAUUGGGCGUAAAGAGCUCGUAGGCGGUUUGUUGCGUCGGUCGUGAAAACCUGGGGCUUAACCCUGGGCCUGCGAUCGAUACGGGCAGACUUGAGUUCGGUAGGGGAGACUGGAAUUCCUGGUGUAGCGGUGAAAUGCGCAGAUAUCAGGAGGAACACCGGUGGCGAAGGCGGGUCUCUGGGCCGAUACUGACGCUGAGGAGCGAAAGCGUGGGGAGCGAA